rnacentral:rRNA from 1 species
UACGUAGGGUGCAAGCGUUGUCCGGAAUUAUUGGGCGUAAAGAGCUCGUAGGCGGUUUGUCGCGUCUGCUGUGAAAACCCGAGGCUCAACCUCGGGCCUGCAGUGGGUACGGGCAGACUAGAGUGCGGUAGGGGAGAUUGGAAUUCCUGGUGUAGCGGUGGAAUGCGCAGAUAUCAGGAGGAACACCAGUGGCGAAGGCAGAUCUCUGGGCCGUAACUGACGCUGAGGAGCGAAAGCAUGGGGAGCGAACAGG